GUGCUUCCAAAAUGCACGCGACUCGAGCCACUCACGACUUAGUUCCGAAGUCAGCAACCAGUGGUGAUUGUGGCGUGUAUUGCAUUGAGUAUGUGGAGCAUCUCAUGAUGCAGCGUGGAUUGACCGAUGUGACGCCAGACCGGAUAGCCAUGUUUCGUCAACGGUGGUGUGUCGAUUUAUUUUACCAAAAUGUCGGCUGAUUAUAUGUGUAAUUAUUGGGACAUUGUAUAUUUUGUGUAAUUAACAUUACAGUUAUGUAUAUAUAGAUUUUCUUUUCGUUCAAA